AUUGAACGCUGGCGGCAGGCUUAACACAUGCAAGUCGAGCGGAGAUGAGGUGCUUGCACCUUAUCUUAGCGGCGGACGGGUGAGUAAUGCUUAGGAAUCUGCCUAUUAGUGGGGGACAACAUUCCGAAAGGAAUGCUAAUACCGCAUACGCCCUACGGGGGAAAGCAGGGGAUCUUCGGACCUUGCGCUAAUAGAUGAGCCUAAGUCGGAUUAGCUAGUUGGUGGGGUAAAGGCCUACCAAGGCGACGAUCUGUAGCGGGUCUGAGAGGAUGAGCGGCCACACUGUGACUGAGACACGGCCCAGACGCCGCCGGGAGGCAGCAGUGGGGAAUAAUGGAAAAUGGGCGGAAGCCUGAUCCAGCCAUGCCGCGUGUGUGAAGAAGGCCUUUUGGUUGUAAAGCACUUUAAGCGAGGAGGAGGCUACCUGGAUUAAUACUCUAGGAUAGUGGACGUUACUCGCAGAAUAAGCACCGGCUAACUCUGUGCCAGCAGCCGCGGUAAGAC
rnacentral:rRNA from 1 species